UUGUUUAUGUACCCAUGAUUCUGUAUGCAGUUGUGACAGUGUUAGCGUUAAUUUAAGAGAGGUUAUAAGUUAUGACCGCGGCUGAUUUUUCAAGCCAAACUUACACAAGCGCAGGCAUUGACUUGUGUUUAUGUCGUGGUUCAGAUUUCGGAUUUGCUUUAUUAUAAUUUUUUUAUUGA